rnacentral:lncRNA from 1 species
CUAGUCACCUUCUGAAGCCCAAGGAUUAGUCACCAUGGCUCCGAGUUCUUUGGUCCGAGCCCUGGGCCCAAAGAGGGAGAAGGGGCGAACUUUCUGACCAAGUAUACAACUACCCAGAGGGCCUAGGAGAAGUGCUGUAUAGAGAGCAGUUCGACUUCAACGCUGAGCCACCUUGGGAACCUAGCUGAUGAUAGGGGGGUUCCAUCUCCUAACUUGUCCAUGGAGGUCUUCACUUCAGAAACCCAAGACUCAUAUUCAUCCAGCUUGGUGUCAAGUGGCUGUUGCUGCCAGAAUUAUCUUGUGA